AAGUCGUAACAAGGUUUCCGUAGGUGAACCUGCGGAAGGAUCAUUAACACGUAUCCACGUAUAUCAACCCCUUUGUGCUCUUUACGUUUUGACGUCCCUGUCUUGAGGUGUAAAAUGCUGAAGUCUCGCGAGAAAUCGAAUGGUGUCUUUUUUUUAAUUAGGCAUUCUCGUGUUACUGUUUGUGAAAGUCCCUUGGGUUUUUCACACAGUGUUUGCAUUUCUAUCGUACAGGUCUAACAAUGUUAGCCAUUCUAACAUGCCUUUUUUUACUAAACCCCUUUGUAAACAUCUUGCUAACUUAAUUUGAGUUUGUUCUUUUAUCAACCAACGCAAGUUGGGAAGUAAAGGAUACUAUUCAAUAUUACGAAAUGCUUGACAACUCUUAGCAACGGAUAUCUUGGUUCUC
rnacentral:misc_RNA from 1 species